rnacentral:rRNA from 1 species
UACGAAGGGGGCUAGCGUUGUUCGGAAUUACUGGGCGUAAAGCGUGCGCAGGCGGCUUCUCAAGUCAGGGGUGAAAGCCCAGAGCUCAACUCUGGAAUUGCCUUUGAGACUGAGUGGCUUGAGUACGAGAGAGGUGAGUGGAAUUCCCAGUGUAGAGGUGAAAUUCGUAGAUAUUGGGAAGAACACCGGUGGCGAAGGCGGCUCACUGGCUCGUAACUGACGCUCAUGCACGACAGCGUGAGGAUCAAACAGG